AGACCCGAAACCCGGUGAUCUAGCCAUGGGCAGGUUGAAGGUUGGGUAACACUAACUGGAGGACCGAACCGACUAAUGUUGAAAAAUUAGCGGAUGACUUGUGGCUGGGGGUGAAAGGCCAAUCAAACCGGGAGAUAGCUGGUUCUCCCCGAAAGCUAUUUAGGUAGCGCCUCGUGAAUUCAUCUCCGGGGGUAGAGCACUGUUUCGGCAAGGGGGUCAUCCCGACUUACCAACCCGAUGCAAACUGCGAAUACCGGAGAAUGUUAUCACGGGAGACACACGGCGGGUGCUAACGUCCGUCGUGAAGAGGGAAACAACCCAGACCGCCAGCUAAGGUCCCAAAGUCAUGGUUAAGUGGGAAACGAUGUGGGAAGGCCCAGACAGCCAGGAUGUUGGCUUAGAAGCAGCCAUCAUUUAAAGAAAGCGUAAUAGCUCACUGGUCGAGUCGGCCUGCGCGGAAGAUGUAACGGGGCUAAACCAUGCACCGAAGCUGCGGCAGCGACACUGUGUGUUGUUGGGUAGGGGAGCGUUCUGUAAGCCUGUGAAGGUGUGCUGUGAGGCAUGCUGGAGGUAUCAGAAGUGCGAAUGCUGACAUAAGUAACGAUAAAGCGGGUGAAAAGCCCGCUCGCCGGAAGACCAAGGGUUCCUGUCCAACGUUAAUCGGGG
rnacentral:rRNA from 1 species